rnacentral:lncRNA from 1 species
UACUGGCAUGGGGGGUUGUUGUAGAACUGAACCCAAACGUAGUCAAAUAAGCCAGUUUGGAUUGCGCCGUCUAGGUGAGCAUCCGGGAUUGGACAUUGUGGAGCUGCGGCUAAAUAGACCGUUUUUGCCUGUGUGUUGUGCCCGUUGAGUAACCUGGCGAGCUCAUCAUAGAACUGCCCACCACCUAUAACAAUGGCGAAAUCAACGCCGUCCAAAACAGCGUCCCCAAGCGGGCGCGAUGCUGACUGACCACCUAGGAAGUUGUUCCAGAUGUAAUCAGCAACUUGCCUUGCAUCAUCAGCUGAAGUGAGAUUGUAACUUCCGACAGCCCCUCCAAUCGAGAGGAGGACUUUUAUGUUUUGGGAUUGGCAAGCUCUGAUGUCGGCGCUCAGCCCCGUGCAAGUACUACUGCUGGGGUCGCAGUGUCCGGCGAGGUUGAGGGCAGGGACCUGGUUGUUUCCGAAAGUCAUGAGGAAAGCUAUGUUAACAAACUGGUAGUUGCCUGAGUUGCAAGCAUCUACUAGGGUUCCUUCGUUGCCGUUUUGUCCCCAAUACGUUGCGAUUCCGGCGGCUUGAGAGGACUUGCAUGAAGAAAUGAGAAUCAAGAGGAACAGCGUUAGGGCUAGGGUUUGUGUUUUGGUUGCCAUUUUGUAUGUGUUUUUUUUGUUGUUGCUCAAAGUGCUUGGGAGGGUACAUGUAUUUAUAGGUGCAGGGGACUUGUCGGUGAAGGUUUAGGGGAAGAGAAGUAUGACAGACGUGUCUUGCAGGUACAAAAUGGAUGCCAGUCUUCUGCUUGGAUCCGCGUCAACCAAGUUAGGGCCUGUUUAGUCCAAGUUUCACUUCACAACUUAGAAAUUUGUGAAUUAAGUUAGGUCGUGUUGCACGUUCUUUUUUCAAAAACCACUCAUAAGCGCUCUUAAUAUUUUUCGUAAGAAUGCAAGUGUUUUUAGAAAAAACACUCGAGAUGCUUAGCGUGUGAUUUUUCUAGAAAGCACUUUUAAGUGUUUUUUCAACCUAAAACACUUCAAAACCCUUUUAGUUGUUUUAAAGACACUUCCAACAGACACAAAAUGAAAAAUUACUUCCAAAGAGAAAUAUAGCAUGCUAUUUGAGAGAUUCCUAAACUAAAUAGCUAUUAAGCGUGACCUUAACCACUUAAUUAGGUGAAAUAAAAUAUCAAAUUUGACAAACAAUCUGAUGAACGCCAUAGCUAUAUGUUUAGUCAGUGGAUGAGAUAAUCAUGAAACAAUACGUGGAGAAUCAACACAGCCUUAUCAUCGCCAAAAAAUUUCAGCAUGCCAGAAACACGACCUGGUACAAUACUCUUGGUACCUCAAUUGUUGUCUUUAUUCCUGCAGAACCACAUGAGUGAGAUGUUUGCUUACCAUGCAACCAUGAUGUCCAAUACUCUUGGUACCUCAAUCGUUGUCUUUACCAAAACUGGUUUUAUGGCUUAUUCUAUUGAUCCAUUACCGACCUACGUAUACCGUGACCAUAUUUGCCUUUACGAAUGAAUGAGUUUUCAUGUUACCUCUCACAAAGGCAUUAGUUAAAAUUUUAACUGUAUCAGUUAUAUAGUACGCUGUGCAAGUUCUAUUCAUUAGCAAGUACUUUGAUUGUCAUGCAGUAAGAGCAUACAACGGAGAUUGGCUUUGUAUCAAGGCGUAUGUCCCAUAUACAUGGAGUUCCCAGAAGAUUCUGAAACAAGCUUUAGCAAUGCCUUGACUGUGCUGAAGGUGUUUUGCUGCAUAUUUCCUAAAUUUAUGGCGACGUAUGCUAUUCAACCAUGUCAGCACUGAUGGUGCAUUUUCUGGUGUUUUGUUUACAGGAGCAAGGAUUGGUAAAGGCAGGAGAAGAGGUCGCACUCGUUCAAAGUGGCAGGCAACCCAUUUGGCGGCUCCAACCCACUCACAACAUUCAAGUGCGAAAGUUUAGGUGCAACGUAGAUGGAAAACUCGUAGCUUUUGUGUUGUACUUCCAGUUGAAUGUCGUGAUAGUUUCUGAUGAAAUUGGGUUCCACCAUAAAACCAAUUGGCAAUAUGGGGAGUAGCCAAAGAUCAUAUAAGCACAUAGUAAACCUUGUCCCUCAUCAAUGUGGGACAACUCUCAACAUACCCCCGCACGUGUGACGGAAUUUCAAUCCUACACGUGGACAACAACUGGAUGACGUAGAGUGCGUGUGGCCGUUGGGCUUCACACGUGGACAACCUUGCUCUGAUACUAUGAUGAAAUUGGAGUUCCACCAUAAAACCAAUUAGCAAUAUGAGGAGUAGCCCAAGAUCAUAUAAACAUAUAAUAAACCUUGUCCCUCACCAAUGUGUGACAACUCUCAACUCCAAUGUGGGACAACUCUCAACAGUUUCUUGCUUUGGUUGUUUAAUUUUACUUCUGUUGCACACUUUUGUGGUCCUAUCUGCUUCUUUUUGUAUCCCUCUUUCCCCCUAAUUAGUUUGGGUGUAUGUUUUAGAACAGUAAGUUGUUUCAGUAUAAAUUUGGCAGUUUGAAUGAAAUGUCUUAACUUUUUACUCAAACUGUCUAAUUUUUUUUAAUUGUUUGAUUGAGGAGACAGAUUGUCACCUUAUAAUAUCCGCAGCAUAUACCGUUUGUCGCGUGGCCGUUGAACAUUGACUAGGUUAGGAUUAAGAUUGAGAGAGUCUGGUGCUUUUGUGAAUGUUAUUUUAUAGAUAGCGUGAUUAUACAGAUGGCAAAGCGCUUGAACUGGACUCGACAGAAUGAGGUAUUUAUUAACUAAGGUCAAAAGUCAAGCAAAAAUUGUUGAUAGGGACUUCAUAAACAAAAUUAAACAACAUUCGUUUGUAUAAUUAUCAAACCGACAAUAUCUUAGGGUGCUAUCCACACAUUCUUUUUUAUCUUUUGCACACUCCUCUCAAUUUUUAACUGCUAAAUCAAAUGAAUUGAAGAAUAUCAAAUAACAAAAAUUAACAGAGAAUGUGUGAAAGAUAAAACUGAGUGUAUAGAUAGCAUCACCCUAUCUUAUUAAGAUAAUGACAUCCUAUUUAUUUGAUAUAAUCUUUUAGGGACUAACCAAAACAUUGAGUUGCAAAAGUCAAACUCUUCCGAUGAUGGAAGAACUAAAUCCACUUUUAUCAUCACAAAACUUAACAUCACACCACCAUACUUCGACGACUUCUUUAUCACCAGUAGAAUUUCCGAAUUCAGCGAAGCAGCCGGAAUAUACCCACUUACGGCCGCUCAGGAGCCGCCGGCAACCCCAAAAACAUCUUUCUCAUACAAUGAUGUCACUUGGCGUCUUAACAAGGUGGGAGACUUUGGGAGGACUUUAUUGGGUAUUUCCAAGUACUCGGUACUCUAUGUAUUUUAACCAUUAGAUCUUUGUUUAGAAAUAUAAAAAUCAAAAUCUAACGGUUAAAACAUCCAAUGUACCAGUAGUACUGCUCAAAUUUUUUUGAGACAUUGAAUGCAAUCCCUCCAAAAAAUUAAUAGGUUAUACAGUAGUACCACUUCAACCGUGAUACUUUCAUUCAAAGGCUAGUUUUAUACUAAUAUGUGAUGCUUUCAUUCCAUAUUUGAGAGGGCCUUUGAAUAAGUAUAAAGCUAGCCUUUACAAUAUGAGCUAGCUAGCCUCCAUACACACAGUGCCUGCCAAUCAUGUAAAACCAUAGACAAUGAUACAAGACAAUUUAUUUGGACCUAUAAUUUCUUUUCAUAACUACAUCACAUCGCCCUUUAUGUAAAACUAUAUUUUAUUCAAUUUCAAAAAUUAGUACAUGCAAUAACAUGUUUUAUCAUAAAAAAUACGAUAAAUUUCAGGCCUCGUUUGGCAGCUCAGACUGUACUGACUAUUUCUGUCGGAUAGGAUAAAUAGUCAUCGGAUAGUACUGACUAAAUUAGUCGGGCGUUUGGUGCAGUAUCGGACUAAUGACUGUAUUAUUUAUACUGUGUUUGGUAUUAUACCGGAUAGAAGGAAUCAAACUUAAAAUAAAAUUAAAAAAAAAAUUAAAAUCAUCUCUCUUGUUCCAUAUCUCUCCGCCGCACCCCCCCAAACUCCCUCCCUUUCUAUCCCUUCCUCUUCUUCCCCGUCUGCUCCCCUGAACUAAACCCCACCACAAAGGCAGCAACAAGAAACCCAUCUUUCAAAUUCUCAUCGUUUUUUUCCCAAUCCUUAUUUUUUUUUAGCUACAAAUCAACCCAGCAAAAAAACACACCACAAACCAAGAAAAUUCACACAAAGGACUUUGUUUUCUAUUAGUCCUAAAAAACAAUUGGAAGGAAAUUCACGGAGGACACCUUUUUUUCAACAAACCAAGAACACUCAUCGGAGAGAAAAAUGGGGCUGACUGUGAUUUUGGGCAUUAGGUUGGGGAAAAGCAUUGACAAAAUUCGAUUUGGAGGAGGGGAAGAGCUGAGUGACGCCUCCAGUUGGCGAAUUCCUCAGCUUCCAUCCGCCCCUUUCUAUAUAUCCCUGUGGAAUAUGUUGUUUCGCUACUGGUCUCCUUUUGUCUCUCUCUCACUCUCUUCUUUGUUCCUCUGUGUGCUUUCCGUCGGACGAGACGGGAAAUUAGUCGGCGAAUGACUGCAGAGGAGUGGCGCCCGGGGUGGAGAACUCGUCGAGGAACUACUCGAAGGCCCACUUUGAGAAGUCGUUAACGGCGGCUUUGUGAAGUUGGAGAGGACAGCGCCCUGACUAAUUAUCCCGAGCUUUUGGGCUGUUUUAAUAGUACGUUGUCAACCGUAUAAAAUUUGAUGGGCCGGAUAAUUAAGCGGGUGCUUAUUUAGUACGAGAGUGCACCAAACAACAGCUCCUGUAUUACUUAUCCUAUCCGAUGCUUUAUACGGCGUGCCAAACGAGGUGAGCGUGUAUUAGAAAUACGGGAUGGUAAAUCACAUAUUAUUAUAUAAGUGAAAAAAAGUUUUAUUUUUUUAAGUGUGCCUCCACUUAUAUAAUAUAUUGUACUACCCAAAUUCUGAAUAAGUAAAAGAUCUCUCCGAAAAAUACAUAUGCAUGUUUUAUUCAAAAGGUAAGGAAUGAUGCGUCAUCAUCCCUAAUACACUUUAUUAUAGUAGUAGCAUCAAUUGAGGCAGAGAAGUUAAUUAGAUGCUGUCCUUAAUGGAUGCACUAUAACCGUUGUCAUAGAACCUGUUCCAAAGCAUAACUCCUCCGUACUUGGGCGAAUUCUUAAUCGUUGGAAGAACUUGUGACUUGAGAGCGUCAGCAGGAAUAAAUCCGCCGCUCGGAGCGGCCUCAGGAGCUGCCGGUAACCCCAUGAACACCUGGGUGGCCGGAACCGAGGCCCAUUGGUUCCAACUGCUCAAAAGAGCGUCGGCAUUACCGUCCGCAUACUGGCAUUGGGGGUUGUUGUAGAACUGGACCCAAACGUAGUCAAAUAAACCGGUUUGGAUAGCGCCGUCUAGGUGAGCAUCCGGGAUCGGACAUUGUGGAGCUGCGGCUAAAUAGACCGUUUUUGCCUGUCCGUUGUGUCCGUUGAGUGACUUGGCGAGCUCAUCAUAGAACUGCGCACCACCCGCCUCAAUGUCGAAAUCAACGCCGUCCAAAACCGCGUCCCCAAGCGGGCGCGAAGCUGACUGACCACCUAAGAAGUUGUUCCAGAUGUAAUCAGCAACUUGCCUUGCAUCAUCAGCUGAAGUGAGAGAGUAACUUCCGGCGGCCCCUCCAAUCGAGAGGAGGACUUUUAUGUUUUUUGAUUGGCAGGUUCUGAUGUCGGCACUCAGCCCGGUGCAAGUACCACUAGCGGGGUCGCAGUGGCCGGCGAGGUUUAGGACAGGGGUUUGGUUGUUUCCGAAAGUAGUGAGGAAAGCUAUGUUAACAAACUGGUAGUUGCCUGAGUUGCAAGCAUCUGCUAGGGUUCCUUCGUUUCCGUUUUGGCCCCAAUAGACCGCAAUUCCGGCGGCUUGGGAGGACUUGCAUGAAGAAAUGAGGAUCAAGAGGGACAGCGUUAGGGCUAGGGUUUGUGUUUUGGAUGCCAUUUUUAUAUGUUUUUUUGGGUUGUUGUUCAAAGUGCUUGGGAGUGGACAUGUACUUAUAGGUGCAGGGGACUUAUCGGUUAAGGUUUAGGGGAAGAAAAGUAUGACAGACGUGUUCUGCAGGUAAGAGUCUUCUGCUUGCAACCGCGUCAAUCACGUUAGGGCCUGUUUAUUUAGUCCAAGUUUCACUUUACAACUUAGAACACGUCAAUUAAAUUAGGUCGGGUUGAAAAUGCAUUUUCCAAAACCACUUUCACACAUAAGCGCUUCUUAUAUUUUCAUAAAAAUGCAAGUGGUUUUAUAAAAAAAAAAACUUGAGGUGUUUGGCGUGUGUUUUUUCAGAAAGCACUUAAAAUAUUUUUUCAACCUAAAAUCACUGAAUUUUUUAUGAUUUCAAAGUUCUUUUAAUUGUUUUGAAGGCACUUCCAACUGAUAUUUUAUAAAAAAUUACUUCUAGAGAGAAUUAUAGCAUGCUAAUUGAGAGAUUCCGAAACUAAAAAGCCAUCAAAUUUGCCAAAAAAAAAAUCUGAUGAGACAAUACGUGGAGAAUCAACACAGCUGUAUCAUCACCAAAAAUUUUCAGUGUGCAGAAAUACAGUCCGGUACAAAGUGUUAUAAUAAAAUUGGUUGAUUUUUUUUUUUAAGUUUCCAACUAAUUAUAUUAUUACACUUGAUGUACCGAUCCGUAUUUCUGAAAAAUCUCUCCUUACCAUCACAUCACAUGAAUGUUUUGGAAAGUUCGUAGAUAGAAACCAAAAUCUCUCCUUAUCAUCACAUCACAUCACAUGAACGUUUGGGAAGCUCGUCGAUAGAAACCAAAUGGAAUAUGCUUUUAGCUGAGGAUGGCCAUUGGCCAGGGACUUCGGUCUAAUCACGAUGCUUUAAUUUCGCAGUCGGAAAAAAACUUUCGAAUAAAAUUUAGGGUAUAUUUAGGAAGUGUUUUUAAAUGAUUGAAAACAUUUUUAGAAAUAUUUUUUUUUAAAAACGUUUCCAGUCAUUUAAAAAAACUUCUUAAACGAGUUUAAUUACUUGUGUAUGGGGCAACAUUUAGCUAGUAAUGGUUCUCAUGAAUUGGAUUGUGGUGAUGUGAAAAUGGGUUUGGGUUAGUUUAGUUUAGAGUUUAUAUUUACUAUCCGGUGCAUGCAAAUGGAAUGUCAAAUCUUUCAGAGAAAUUUUGAUAGAACUGCCACUUAGGGCAACACAUAUUAAACAAACAAAUGUAGGGUUGGAGAAGACUAAAAUACAUGAAUUCUCGUGUUUUCAUAAAUGUGAUCUAAAAAUAAUAUAGCAUGUGCCCUGAGAACAACGUGAUCAGUACCUAAUCGAAGUUCUCUAGUGUGGAAAGAUUCAAGAGGGGUGUGACGCUUCCGACAAAUAAAAAAUCACACAUUUUCGAAUUCGGAAAUGUAUAGAACAGAGCAGAUAUCACUAGAUGAAUGUUAACUGUUUUACAGAAAAUUUAUAAGACAAUUAGAGUUAAACAACAGAAGCUUGCACUUUAAAUGGUUAUGUCCAGCUGCUUUUGGUAUGUAUAUGCUUUUUCCAUGUCUCGAUGUAGUUCCAGUUCACUGCUCAUCAUCCUGGAACAAUGCUUUCGAAACAGAGCCGCACGGCUGGCUACUGUAUUCUCGGUAAUCUUCAUCGUCAUCACAGCUGCGUUGCGAGCAUGAACGUUUGAUUCCUGUCAUUGGGGUUUCACAGACUCUGUCAUCGCAUGAACCUCUAUGAUCCUUCCUUUUAAACAGCUUUCGAAGCGGAUUUGACUUUGGUUUCAAUGGUUUCAGCCGUUUGGGGGCCCAAACUCUCUGCAGAUCGGGCAUCCAUCUUGUGGAUGAAGCGAAUCUCCAAGCCCUCUCUCUCCUCUCUUGAGCUUCAAGUAACUUGCGAGCAUGGUCGUCCUAUUGUUUGAUCUCUUCGACGCUUGGUCUUCCAAUAUCAGUUUUCAGCGGACGAAGAGACUCACCUUCUGCUUGUAAUGAGUCCCAGAUUCUAUAACUUCCAUCCACUUCGACACUCUUCGGUUUUUCUUUACAGGAUCGAUUGCUAUCCUCACUGUUGAGUAAACUAUUAGGGAGUUCUUCCUCAUCAGCAAACAGUAACAAAUCCAUUUUCGUAUAGAUUUUGUGAACCACAUCUUCAAGUGUCUCACAGUACCUGAAAAAUGUCCAAAUUCAGGCUCUUGACAAUUUGACAAAGCAUUUCAUUGAAAAGGUUCAAUCCUUACUACCAUUAUAAUUUAUAAUGUGUUGUAUGGUUUACCUCGUAAUGGUGCUAAGUUAUUUCUACAGUUUUGGGGCAUUUUUUUUGCAGUUUCGGUGCAAUUUUGAUGCAGUUCUUUUUUUUUGCAAUUUUGCUGCAUUGUUGUUGCUGUUUUUGCUGCAUGUUCAUUGAUUAAUAAAAAGGUCGUACCCAGUGCACAAGGCUCCCUUGAUUAAUAUAUGAGAAAAAUAAGACUGUCAUAUGCUUAAAUAGGUGUAUAUUUUAAAUUAUACAUUUUUUUUUCAAAAAUCGAACCGAAACUGUUUGAAACCGUACCGCACCAAACCAAACGGUUUGGUUUCAUUUCAGUUUUGGCUUCAAAACUGCACCGAACCGCACCGCAAAAAAAUUUGGUUUCGGUUGCGGUUUCACUCGAAACCGCACCGAAGCGCACCGCGCCCACCCCUACAGGGGACUUGUCGAUGAAGGUUUAGGGGAAGAGAAGUAUGACAGACGUGUCUUGCGGGUACAAAAUGGGUGCCAGUCUUCUGCAUGCAUGGAACCGCGUGAACCAAGUUAGGGCCUGUUUAGUCCAAGUUUCACUUGACAACUUAGAAAUUUGUCAAUUAAGUUAGGUCGUGUUGGAAAUUCUUUUUUCAAAAACCACUCAUAAGUGCUUUUAAUAUUUUUCGUAAGAAUGCAAGCGUUUUUAGAAAACACACUCAAGGUGCUUAGCGUGUGCUUUUUUUUAGAAAGCACUUUUAAGUGUUUUUUCAACCUAAAAACACUUGUUUUAAAGACACUUCCAACAAACACAUAAUUAAUGGAAAAUUACUUCCAGAGAGAAAUAUAGCAUGCUAUUUGAGAGAUUCCAAAACUAAAAGCUAAAUAGUUAUUAAGCGUGACCUUAACCAAGGUGAAAUAAAAUAUCAAAUUUGACAAACAAUCUGAUGAACGUCAUAGCUAUAUGUAUAGUCAGUAGAUGAGAUAAUCAUGAAACAAAACGUGGAGAAUCAACACAGCCUUAUCAUGGCCAAAAUUUGUCUGUGUGCCAGAACCACGGCCUAGUACACUAAAAGUGUCAUAAUAGAAUUGGUUGGAAAUUCAUUCGGUUACAACUGACUCUGAAGUCUUUAUUUCUGCACAACCACAUAGUGAGAUGUUUGCUUACCAUGCAACCAUGAUGUCCAAUACUCUUGGUACCUCAAUCGUUGUCUUUACCAAAACUGGUUUUAUGGCUAUUCUAUUGAGCCAUUACCGACCUACCGGGAUCAUAUUUGCCUUCACGAAUGAGUGAGUUUUCAAUUUACCUGUCACAAAGGCAUUUAGUUAAAAUUUGUAACUGUAUCAGUCAAAAUAUGCUGUGAAAGUUCUAUUCAUUAGCAAGUACUUUGAUUGCCAUGCAGUAAGAGCAUACAACGGAGAUUGGCUUUGUAUCAAGGCGUAUGUCCAAUAUAUACAUGGAGUUCACAGAAGAUUCUGAAACAAGCUUUAGCAAUGCCUUGACUGUGCUGAAGGUGAUGUUUUGCUGCAGAUUUCCUAAAUUUAUGGCGACGUAUGCUAUUCAACCAUGCCAGCACUGAUGGUUCAUUUUCUGUUGUUCUGUUUGCAGGAGCAAGGAUUGGUAAAGGCAGGAGAAGAGGUCGCACUCGUUCAAAGUGGCAGGCAACCCAUUUGGCGGCUCCAAUCCACUCACAAAAUUCAAGUGCGCAAAAUUUAGGUGCAACGGAGAUGGAAUAAUCGCCCUCGUAACAUAGAUUUCUUCGUCUACACUACAAAAGUUUCAAAUGAUAGCUUUUGUGUUGUACUUCCAGCGGAAUUGUCGUGAUACUUUCUUCCUUUGGUUGUUUUUUUUCUUCUGUUGCACACUUUUGUGAUCCUAUCAAUGUGCUUCUUUUUGUUUCCGAUUUCCCCCUAGUUAAUUUUGGCGUAUGUUUUAGAACUGUAAGUUGUUAAAGUAUAAAUUUGGCAGUUUGAAUGCAAACUGUCUAAAUUUUUUUAAUAGUUCGAUUGAGGAAACAGAUCGUCACACUCACAUUCUAAUAUCCGCCGCUUACCGUUUGUCGUGUGGCCGUUUAACACUGACUAAGGUAGAUCUCACAUCAGAUCAGCACGGGACUAGGUUCCGUGCUCUUGUGAAAGUUAUUCUACGUACGACGUGAUUCUACACAUGGUUUGUGGUUUGGGCUUGAACCGGUCUCUACGAAAUGAGGCAGAUUUUUUGUUUAUUAACAAAGGUCAAAAGUCAAACAAAAAUUGUUGAUACAGACUAUCUUAAACAAAAUUAAACAACAUUCGCUUGAAUAAUUAUCAAAUUGACAAUGUCUCAUAGGUGAUGCUGUCCAUACACUCUUUUUAUUUUUCACUCACUCCUCCCAAUUUUUAACCGUCAGAUCGAAUAAAUUAAAGAUGAUCAAAAGACAAAAAUUAACUGAAGAUAUGUGAAAGAAAAAACAAAAUGUAUAUAUAGCAUCACCUAUCUUAUUAGGAUAAUGACAUCCGAUUUAUUUGAUAUAAUCUUUUAGGGAAACCAAAACGUUGAGUUACAAAAGUCAAACUCUUCCGAUGAUGGAAUAACUAUAUCCAUUUUUAUCAUCACAAAACUCGGACCCUAACAUCACACCACCAUACUUCGACGACUUCUUUAUCACCAGUAGAAUUUCCGAAUUCAGCAAAGCAGCCACAAUAUACCCACUUCUGGCCACCUCAGGAGUGGCCGGCAACCCCAAAAACAUCUUCCCUUUCUAAUACAUUAAUGAUGUCAGUUGGCGUCUUAACAAGAUGGGAGACUUUGGAGUCGCUUUAUUGGGAUCUCCCGAGUACUCGGUACUCUAUGUAUUUUAACCGUUAAAUCUUUGUUUAAAAAUAUAAAAAUCAAAUUCUAACAGUUAAAAUAUUCAAAAUAUCCAUAGUACCGCUCGAAAUUUUUUGAGACAUUAAAUGCAAUCCCUCCAAGAAAUCAUCUCAAAUUUUUUUGAGACAUUAAAUGCGAUCUCUCCAAGAAAUUAUUAGAUUAUACCGUAGUACCAUCUCAGCCGUGGUAGUUUCAUCCAAAGGCUAGCCUUUACAAUAUGAGCUAGCCAGCCUUCAUGCACACAGUGCCUGCCAAUCAUGUAAAACCAUUGACAAUGAUACAUGACAAUUUAUUUGGACCUAUAACUUCAUUUCAUAACUACAUCAGAUAACCGUUUAUGUGCAACUAUAUUUUAUUCAAUUUCAAAAAUUAGCAUAUGCAAUGACAUGUUUUAUCGUAAAAAGUACAAGAAAUUUUCAACGUAUCACAAAUACAAAGUGUUAUACCACAUGUCAUUAUAUAAAGAGAAAUUUUUUAUAUUUUAAGUCUGUCUCCACUUAUAUAAUAUGUGUUGUACCAUCCGAAUUCCGGAUCAGUAAAAGAUCUCUCCAAAAAUACAUAUGCAUGUUUUAUUCAAAAGGUUAGGAAUGAUGCGUCAUCAUCCCUAACGCACUUUAUUAUAAGUAGUAUCAUCCAUUGAGGCAGAGAAGUUAAUUAGAUGCUGUCCUUAAUGGAUGCACUAUAGCCGUUGACAAUGUCAUACUGCCUGCCCCAGAGCAUAAUUCCUCCGUACUUGGGCGAUUUCUUAAUCGUUGGAAGAACUUGUGACUUGAGAGCGUCAGCAGGAAUAAAUCCGCCGCCCGGAGCGGCCUCAGGAGCUGCCGGUAUACCCAAGAACACCUGGGUGGCCGGAACCGAGGCCCAUUGGUUCCAACUGCUCAAAAGAGCGUCGGCAUUACCGUCUGCAUACUGGCAUGGGGGGUUGUUGUAGAACUGAACCCAAACGUAGUCAAAUAAACCGGUUUGGAUAGCGCCGUCUAGGUGAGCAUCCGGGAUCGGACAUUGUGGAGCUGCGGCUAAAUAGACCGUUUUUGCCUGUCCGUUGUGUCCGUUGAGUGACCUGGCGAGCUCAUCAUAGAACUGCGCACCACCCGCCUCAAUGUCGAAAUCAACGCCGUCCAAAACCGCGUCCCCAAGCGGGCGCGAAGCGGACUGACCACCUAAGAAGUUGUUCCAGAUGUAAUCAGCAACUUGCCUUGCAUCAUCAGCUGAAGUGAGAGAGUAACUUCCGGCGGCCCCUCCAAUCGAGAGGAGGACUUUUAUGUUUUUUGAUUGGCAGGUUCUGAUGUCGGCACUCAGCCCCGUGCAAGUACCACUAGAGGGGUCGCAGUGGCCGGCGAGGUUUAGGACAGGGGUUUGGUUGUUUCCGAAAGUAGUGAGGAAAGCUAUGUUAACAAACUGGUAGUUGCCUGAGUUGCAAGCAUCUGCUAGGGUUCCUUCAUUGCCGUUUUGGCCCCAAUACGUCGCGAUUCCGGCGGCUUGGGAGGACUUGCAUGAAGAAAUGAGGAUCAAGAGGGACAGCGUUAGGGCUAGGGUUUGUGUUUUGGAUGCCAUUUUUGUAUGUUUUUUUGGGUUGUUGUUCAAAGUGCUUGGGAGUGGACUUGUACUUAUAGGUGCAGGGGACUUAUCCGUUAAGGUUUAGGGGAAGAAAAGUAUGACAGACGUGUUCUGCGGGUUAGAAAUGGGUGCCAGUCUUCAGCUUGGAACCUCGUCAAUCAAGUUAGCUAGGGCCUGUUUAGUCCAAGAAGUUUCACAUAAAACGCCGAUUAAGUUAGGUCGGGUUGGAAAUGCUUUCUUCAAAAACUACUUACACACGUAAGCGCUUCUUAUAUUUUUCAUAAGAAUGCAAGUGCUUUUGAAAAAAAACACUUGAGCUGUUUCGUGUGUUUUUUUCAGAAAAUACUUUAAAUGUUUUUUCAAACUAAAAAUCCAUUAAAGCUCCUUUACUUGUUUAAGGGCACUUCCAAAAUCAUAUUUAAAGAAAAAUUACUUCUAGAGAGAAUUAUAACAUGCUAAUUGAGAGAUCCCGAAACUAGAAACUAGAUAGUUAUAAUGAAGCGUGACCUUAACUGCUUAAUUAAGUGAAAAAAGCCAUCAAAUUUGACAAAAAGUCUGAUGAAAGGUCAUAGCUGUAUCAUCUGUAGAUGAGAUAAUCAUGAAACAAUGUGGGGAAUCAACACAUCCUUAUCAUCGUCAAAAAAAAAAAUUCACUGUGCUGGAAGCACGUUCAAUUGAACGUUUUGGAAGUUUGUGGAUAGAAACCAAAUGGAAUAUGCUUGUAACCAAAAUUGCUGGCUGCUAUAUACAUCUUGGAUUUUAGCUGAGGUGGCCAUUGGCCAAGGACUUUGGUCUAAUCACGAUGCUUUAAUUUCGCAAUCCAAAAAAAAAAUUCAGAUAAAAUUUAGAACACGUUUUGGGAGUGCUUUCAAAUUACUGAAAGCGAUUUUAGAAAGAAAAAAAAUGUUUAUAUAACUAAUCUUUAAUAAAAAUGCAAGUUAAUCCUCCAAAAGUACUGAAACUAGUGCUUCUUUGAUAAAACACUUCAAGUGCUUUUGGAGCUCAAAAAUAUUAUCUCAAGUGGUUUCAGUCAUUUAAAAACACUUUCUAAACGAGUUAAUGACUCGUGUAUGGGGCAACAUUUAGCAAGUAACGGCUCUCAUGAAUUGGAUUGUGGUGAUGUGAAAAUGGGUUUGGGUAAGUUUAGUUUAGACCAGUCAGCAGUGUUUAAAAUAUCCACGACAUUAUCGAUAUUUUCGUUGAAAUAUCCUUAAAAUUAAGGGUCCAUAAGCAAAAGAAGGAUGAAAUGCAAACUUCACCCUAUAUCGGCAAGAUACAAGAAAACAAUGAAUAUAGACAAUAUGUAACAACUCGUCCCAAGAUUUACUGUAUAUAAAUGGUAUUUUUGUAUUUUCAUCAAGUUUGGGAAUUUAUCUUCCUUUUAAAAUUUGUUUUUGGUCUUAAAUGGUGAUCCAAGGGGACCCACUCCCCUGAUUUUGUCCCCGAGCCCUCUUCUCUCUUUCUUCCUCUCCUCUUCCCUUUCCCCUUUCCCGUAUACUUCUAUUCCUCUCUUCUCUAUGAUCACACUCACACCCAGCUGCACUCCCUGCUCGAGGAAGACGCAAUCACCAUCUAAACCACGUCCCUUUCCUCUUCCUCUUGCCUCUGUGCAACUCGGCGAAACCAAGAAAAUAACCUCCGGCAAGUCCGACGGCUUUCGAAGCCAUUUCCUGCCAAACCACGGCGCGUUGGCCGGCGUGCAAGGUAUCAAUCUCUUCGUCCCGUCAAGUACUAUAACUUUUCUUUUUGUUUCACUCAAUUUAAUUGAGUAUUGAAGAAGUUAUACUCAUUUGAAUCUUACCCAGUUUCCGGCGACCUCCGAGGCUUUCGAGGAAAUUUCAGGCCAAACCAUGGCGAGUCAGACGUGAGGUAUCAUUCUCUUCGUCUCUUCCAGGACUACAACUUUCGUUUUUGUCUCGCUUGAUUUCGUUGAGUAGUGACAAAGUUAUGGCUGUUUAAAGUGGGGUGGUUUUCCGGCCGAAUUUCCGGCCUUCUUCUUCCUUGGCAACAGGCCACCCGGCCUUUCCCUCUCCCUCGGACCUUAGGCCCGUGUUGUCUUAAGCCCAAAACCCUAGCCUUUAGUUUUAAGUUUUAUUAUUUGGUUUUAAAACCCUAAAAAGGGCCUUGGGCCGGUGGUUUUUAAAAAGGGCUUAAAGCCCUGUUUUUCUUUAUUUAUUUUUAUUAAGGCCUUAAGGCCUUGUGAUUUUGUGCCCGUGGGUGUGUGUGUUAGGUGUGUAUGUGUUUAUGCAUGCACAUGCAUGCCGUGUGUGUGUGUGUAUUUGUAGUAUGUGUGUGUUUGGGCUAAAGCCCAAACCCCAAUUCUCACCCUAAAACCAUUUUAACCCAAAAUCCUAGGUUCCUAAAAUCCUUUAAAACCCUAAACCCAUCCAAUCCCAAAUCCCCUAUUUUAUUUAAACCUAAACCCUAAUCCGGAUUUCAAGCCUAAAACCCAUUUGACCGUUGACCCCCGGUCAACGUUGAUUUUAGGGUUGACUUUUCGGGUUUUCGUCCGGGACCCUUCUUAGGGUAAUUCGACGUUCUAAAUCCGUUUCCAAUGUCCAUUUUCCCAAAUUCAAUUGUUAUUAUAUAGUUUUAUUUAUUGGACUCUUUAUGUGCUUAGGGGCAAUUAUUGUGACGUUUCCAUCUUCGCUAGUGGCACAGCUUUUGGCAACUAAGUAUUGUGAGUGGACCCCUUCUAGAAUUACAUGAUUUGAUAAUUUAAUUGCAUAAAUGAUUAGCAUGCCUACGAAUUUAUGAUUUGAUUUAUGUGAAGCCUGAUGAUUUAAUAUAUUGAUUAUCGUCUCGGGUUUUGGUGAGGAAUUAUUUGUUAGCCUAUAUUGAGCUAUAUUUUAAUAUAUCGUAUUUUCUAUUAAAACCAUGAACUGGUAGACUAUCUGAUAGAUGACGAUAGGAUGCUAGAACAUGUUUUUGAACCCCUCUUUAUAGUGUAGACGAUGAUCGGUAACCUAUGCUAUGAAGUGGUUUUUUUUAGAGAGACGUAACUAUUUGUGCGUACCUAGUAGACACUAUGCCGCCUGGGGCAAGGAACUGGUGUUGGCAUUUAGGCCGGGAGAAAUAAUCCCUAGCGAAAGGCUGAGGGACACGGAGACAGGCAGUGGGCCAAGAGGGAGUUAUCUCUGGCUACGGGCACAGAGACUGAGGUGCAAGCAUUGGGCCGGGAGUUAUAUUUAUUCAGUGAUCUUUCUAGCAGCACACUGCGUUUACGAGACGAUUUAUGAUGCGUUUACUGUUUUGAUUUCCGCGAUGUUUUUCCGCGUUAUGGCGUUUGAGAUAUUUUUGGCAUACUAGGAUUUUUAUUAAAUCCAUCACUUAUUAUGCUAGUAGUUUUCAUUUAUAUAAACUUUGGGGGUUAGUAUGUUGAUAAUUGUUUUAUUAUUAUUGUAUAUAUAAACUUGGUCCACUCACCUUUGUUUUGCGCCCCCAUUCAGGACUUAGAAUCAAGGCACCUAAUCCCGGCGUGAAGACACUUUCGCAGCAGCAUCUUCGGAUCCUCUCGAUGUAGGACUCACUCCUUUACUCAUUAAAUUUUAUCUUAAUUCUUUUUAGUGAUUAGAUUUAGUUGUAUGCUCUGAGCACGUUCCUAAAACUUUUAACUCUUAGUUUUUAAAUUCAUAACACUUACUUAUUUCUUAUUCUUAGCUUUUGUAUCAAUUAAUGGCUUUCGUCACCCUCGGGUGUCGGCCAGCAUGUGUCUUCCUGGUAUUCGGGGAAUAUCAGGGUCGGGGCGUGUCACAAUAUUUACGGAUUAAUUACAAAAUUUUGCUAAUACCUAUUGCAGAUUUCGAACUGUAGAAUUUUUUUUAUAAAUUUUUUCUUUAAUUUCAACUAAAUCUGAAUGAGUACUUACCCCAUUGUAAAUUUCCAUCGAAGACUUUCCAACUAUAUCGAUAUUUUAAACACUGGUUUAGACCAACAUGUUUAAUAUCCAGUGCAUGCAAAUAGAAUGUCAAAUCUUUUUGAAAAACUUCAGUAUGACUGCCACUUAAGGGCAACUAGCAUAUUAAAGAGACCAAUGCAAAGUUGGAUGAGACUAAAAUACAUAAAGUCUCAUGUUUUGGUGAGAUGUGGUUUACAAAUGAUAUAGCAUGUGCCCUACGAAAAACGAGAUCGGAUUACCUAAUUGAAGUUUCUCUAGCAUGAAAAAUUCAAGAGGGAUGUGACGGUUCCGGAAAGUAAAAAAUCACACAUUUUUAUUAAUAAUUUUUUUGUUCGAAUUCGGAAAUGUAUAGAACUGAACAAAUGGAAUAGUGGCUCAGUGAUACCAACAAUUUCAUGUUGCAAAUUACAAAAAAAAAAAAAAAAAAAAAAAAAAAAGGAAAUGUUUUACACAAAAUUAAUGACAAUUAGAGUUAAACAACAGAAACUUGCACUUUAAAUGGUUUUUUUCUGCUGCUUUUGGUAUGUAUAUGCUUUUUCCGCACCGCUGGCUACUGUAUUCUCGGUAAUUUUCAUCGUCAUCCCAGCUGCGUUGCGAGCAUGAACGUUUGAUUCCUGUCAUUGGGGUUUCACAUACUCUGUCAUCACAUGAACCUCCAUGAUCCUUCCUUUUAAACAGCUUUCGAAGUGGAUUUGACUUUGGUUUCAAUGGUUUCAGCUGUUUUGGGGCCCAAAUUCUCUGCAGAUCGGGCAUCCAUCUUGUGGAGUAAGCGAACCUCCGAGCCCUCUCUCUCCUCUCUUGAACUUCAAGUAACUUGCGAGCAUGGUCGUCCUUUUGUUUGAUCUCUUCAGCGCUCGGUCUUCCAAUAUCAGUUUUCAGCGGACGAAGAGACUCACCUACUGCUGGUAAUGAAUCCCAGAUUCUAUAACUUCCAUCCACUUCGACACUCUUCGGUUUUUCUUUACAGGAUCGAUUGCUAUCCUAACUGUUGAGUAAACUAUUAGGGAGUUCUUCCUCAUCAGCAAACAGCAACAAAUCCAUUUUCUUAUAGAUUUUGCGAACCACAUCUUCAAGUGUCUCACAGUACCUGAAAAAUUCCAAAUUCAAAGAUUAAUCUAUCUGCUUAAGUUAAUUUUCCAUCUCAAACAAAAAUUGAUUGCCCGCACAUGUACUUCCGGAAAACUAAUUCCAGGAACGGAUUAUUUAAGCAACAUCGUUUCUUCAAGGAUCAUACUGUAGACAUACACUAUUGGCACAUUGCAAAAGUUGUAUAAACAUAUUCCACACUCGUUCAGAAAAACAUGGGUACGAUGUGCGCAUAACUGGCCUAUAUCCUGUCAAUCUACACUGAUAAGGAAAGACACUUUAACUCAUCUAAGAUUAUAAAGACAACCACUUUCCUUAUUUAGCAUUGUUGCAAAGGUAAGUAGGACAUGAUUUGUUAGAUAGGUAGUAAUAUCCCACAUGAAAGUGGAACACAGUGGCACCGGAAAUGUGUAUUUGUUGAGACAUGAACGAUAGACUGAAUGCAGCGUGUGCUAUAUAGCCUUUCAGCGAAAGCCAUAAUGCCUCAGUAAAACAUCCAUUAUAUAAAGUAAAGAAUAAUUUCAAGGGUAGGGGUUUUCAACUGUGGUACAGAUUUAUUACCUGCUUUUUAUGAUCUUUUCAACAUAAUCAUACACUCCAGUCACCAAAGAAGCCCUCCAGAUGACAUCGAAUUUUCUCCAAAAAGGAGCAAAUCUGUUUUACAGACUUCUGUUUUGUAGAUUCAGCAAUACGUGCACCAACCUCUGAUUGUAGUAUCUCCAUCCGGAAAAAUAUCUGCAAUUCAUAUCGUGCACGAGCUGGCGCAAGGAGGCGGCGAAGCACGAAGCCCGGGGCGGCGAUGCCGGGUCGAGGCGAAAUGCGGGGAGGGAAUUGAGGGUUUGGGAGAGGGAAUUGAAAGUGGGGCCGGGGAGGUGGAAAGAGAGGGAGAGAGAAGUGGGGAGCUUGGAGGAGGAGAGCAGCGGAGAGAGGGAGGAGAAGAAGGGUCUGAAGGCGAAGAGAGAGGCGGAGAGAGGAGGGAAAGAGAGGAUGGUUUUGACGGCGGCGAGGAAGGCUGUGAGAAAUGGAGCUGGGUUUUGGAGGUGGAGGAGUGGGUUGAGGCCUAGGAGGAGGACGAUGCGCUGCGUUUUGCCGUAGUCGGCGAUUGGGUCGCCGGAGCUCCGUUCAGAUGCCAUCGCAUUUGCAGGAGGAGAAAGAGACGGACUUGGGUUGCAGAGAAGGGAGAUGCAAAUGUGGAAUUAAGGAACAGUAAACCGAAUACGCAGUCGUUUUAGUAGAAAAACGACGAUACGGUAGAUGCUUGAGCGGGAAACCAAAUUUUGGCUGUAAAGGAAAUGUUUUAGGCCCCGUUUGGGAUUGAGGUGAUUUUAAAAAAAGCCACUGUGAAAAAAAGCUGAGGGUCAUUUUUGUGUUUGGUAAACUGAAAAAAGGGCUUAUUUUGGAAGCUGCUGUGAAAAUAAGCUGAAAAUCAAAGGAAAAGCUGAAGCUGCUAUUUGCUGCUUUGAAAAAAAGCCAGUUUUUUCAAAGCACACAGAGCUACAAUGCUCCUUUAAUGAAAAGACACACUAUCAUCCUGAUUUUUUUUCCAAAAGCACUUUCACAAAAAAGUUUACCAAACACUCUACUGCUUUAUUUCACAGCCGCUUAUUCUCACAGCACAGCCGCUUAUUCUCACAGCAGCUUUUUUUCAAAGCACAGCAAUACCAAACCAGCCCUUAAUCUCAUGAAGGACCUGUUUGGACUGCAUCUAAAUUUGUUAAAAGCGCUUUUAGAGAACAAAAGAGCUUUUGACAUCAGUUGAAAAAAAAAAAAUAUUUAAAGUACUUCUUCACGUGAAAAAAACACAUGGUUUUUAAUGAAAAUUCCAACAUGAUUUGAAUGAAAGUGCUUUCAAAAAGUAUUAUGAAUAGAUAUGCUUUUUUAUAUGCUUCUAUGAAAAGUGCUUUUUGCAAACAAUGUCGGGCUCGUUUGUAAUUACUUUUAAAAUGGUUGAAAGUGUAUUUCGUAAAAAUAUUUUUAGAAACAAUAUUUAGUAAAAUGCAAGUGAAUCCUAAAAAAAACACUUCAAGAAUAGAACAACCAAAGGGGCGAAAACUGUAAACCUCAUAGCAACCGAAUUACAAUUCGAGAACAUACCCGUUACUGAAUCCCAAAUCGCUGGUUCCCAAGUGUAGUCAUGCACAAGCUCGUUUAGAACCAAUAUUUUCUCUAAGAACGAUUUCAAUCAUUUGAAAAACAUUUUUAAACGAACUGAUGUUUUUAGGAGAAACACAAUGAGGAGCAAAUGAUUCCUAGGCGAGAAGAAAAACUAGACAGAAUGUUAAAUAGCACAUUAUGUACCAAUUUUUCUUCAACAAAUUGGAACUACUGAGAAGUUUGGAAACUAAAAAGUAAAGAUUGAUUCUAAGGAUUCUAACCCUGAUGAUUGCUUAUACAGUCGAACUACUUGAAUAGACUGGACUACCGAAGAUAAACUCAUACAUAUACGAAUUAUUAAAAAGUGAAAGAGGCUCAUCUCAGUUUUUUUUUUUUUUUUUAGUUGAAAGAAAAAAAAGGUAAAACAUGGAGAAGAUCAUGAACAGUAAUGGGUUUUAGUAUAUAUAAAUAUAAUUUGUAACUGUAUCUGUCCAAAUAUGCCGUGCAAGUUCUAUUCAUUAGCAGGUACUUUGAUUGCCAUGCAGUAAGAGCAUACAACGGAGAUUGGCUUUGUAUCAAGGCGUACGUCCCAUACACCUCUUUUAUGGGUGAUGCUGUCCACACACUUCUUUUAAUUACCAGUCGUCAUAUAGAAUGAAUUCAAGAGGAUCAAAUGACUAAAAUUAACAGAGAAUAUGUAAAAGAUAAACCAGAGUGUAUGGAUAACACCACCCUAUCUUAUUAGGAUAAUAACAUCCGAUGUGUUUGAUAUAAUCUUUUAGGGACUAACCAAAACAUUGAGUUACAAAAGUCAAACACUUCCGAUGAUGGAAGAACUAUAUCCACUUCUAUCGUCACAAAACUUGGACAAUAACAUCACACCACCAUACUUUGACGACUUCUUUAUCACCGGCAGAAUUUCCGAAUUCAACAAAGCAGCCGGAACAUACCCACUCUUGGCCGCCUUAGGAGCCGCCAGCAACCCCAAAAACAUCUUCCCUGUCUAAUACAAUGAUGUCACUUGGCGUCUUAACAAGAUGGGAGACUUUGGAGGGACUUUAUUGAGUACUCCAGAGUACUCAGUACUCUCAUUUGUUUAAAAAUAUAAAAAUCAAAAUCUAACGAUUAAAACAUCUAGAGUAUCCAUAUAUAGUACUGCUCAAAACUUUUUGAGACAUUGGACGUGAUCCCUCCUAGAAAUUAUUAAGUUAUACAGUAGUACACUUCAGCCGUGAUACUUUCAUUCAAAGGCUAGCUUUAUACUAAUAUGUGAUACUUUCAUUCCAUAUUUGAGAGCCAUUGGAUAAGUAUAAAGCUAACCUUUACAAUAUGAGCUAGUUAGUUAGCCUUCACACACACAGUGCCUGCCUAUCAUGUAACCAUUGACAAUGAUACCCGACAAUUUAUUUGGAGAGAGGGUCCUCACUCAUUUAUUUGGACCUAUAACUUCAUUUCAUAAUAACUCCAUCACAUCAUUUUAUGUACCAUAGUUUAUUCAAUUUCAAAAAUUAGUACACGCAAUAACAUGUUUUAUCGUAAAAUAUACGAGGUUUUUUAGUAUAUUAGAAAUACGAGAUGAUGCACCACAUGUCAUUAUAUAAAUGAAGAGAAAUUUUUUUUUUUUUUAAAUGUGCCUCCACUUAUAUAAUGUAUUGUACCACCCAAAUUCUGAAUAAGUGAAAGAUCUCUCCAAAAAAUACAUAUGCAUGUUUUAUUCAAAAGGUAAGGAAUGAUGCGUCAUCAUCCCUAACACACUUUAUUAUAGUAGUAGCAUCAAUUGAGGCAGAGAAGUUAAUUAGAUGCUGUCCUUAAUGGAUGCACUAUAACCGUUGUCAUAGAACCUGCUCCAAAGCAUAACUCCUCCGUACUUGGGCGAAUUCUUAAUCGUUGGAAGAACUUGUGACUUGAGAGCGUCAGCAGGAAUAAAUCCGCCGCUUGGAGCGGCCUCAGGAGCUGCCGGUAACCCCAUGAACACCUGGGUGGCCGGAACCGAGGCCCAUUGGUUCCAACUGCUUAAAAGAGCGUCGGCAUUACCGUCUGCAUACUGGCAUGGGGGGUUGUUGUAGAACUGAACCCAAACGUAGUCAAAUAAACCGGUUUGGAUAGCGGCGUCCAGGUGAGCAUCCGGGAUCGGACAUUGUGGAGCUGCGGCUAAAUAGACCGUUUUUGCCUGUGCGUUGUGUCCGUUGAGUGACCUGGCGAGCUCAUCAUAGAACUGCGCACCACCCGCCUCAAUGUCGAAAUCAACGCCGUCCAAAACCGCGUCCCCAAGCGGGCGCGAAGCGGACUGACCACCUAAGAAGUUGUUCCAGAUGUAAUCAGCAACUUGCCUUGCAUCAUCAGCUGAAGUGAGAGAGUAACUUCCGGCGCCCCCUCCAAUCGAGAGGAGGACUUUUAUGUUUUUUGAUUGGCAGGUUCUGAUGUCAGCACUCAGCCCCGUGCAAGUACCACUAGGGGGGUCGCAGUGGCCGGCGAGGUUUAGGACAGGGGUUUGGUUGUUUCCGAAAGUAGUGAGGAAAGCUAUGUUAACAAACUGGUAGUUGCCUGAGUUGCAAGCAUCUGCUAGGGUUCCUUCGUUGCCGUUUUGGCCCCAAUAGAUCGCAAUUCCGGCGGCUUGGGAGGACUUGCAUGAAGAAAUGAGGAUCAAGAGGGACAGAGUUAGGGUUAGGGUUUGUGUUUUGGAUGCCAUUUUUGUAUGUGUUUUUUUGGGUUGUUGCUCAAAGUGCUUGGGAGGGGACAUGUACUUAUAGGUGGAGACUUACUGGUUAAGGUUUAGGGGAAGAAAAAUAUGACACACGAGUUCUGCUUGUAAGAAAUGGAUGCCAGUCUUCUGCUUGUCAAUCAAGUUAGCUAGGGCCUGUUUGGUCGAAGUUUCACAUGAAACGUCGAUUAAGUUAGGUCGGGUUGGAAAUGCUUUCUUCAAAAACCACUUACACACGUAAGCUCUUCUUAUAUUUUUCAUAAUAAUGCAAGUGCUUUUGGAAAAAACACGAGAGGUGUUUCGCAUGUGUUUUUUUCAAAAAGCACUUCAAAUAUUUUUUCUACCUAAAAAUCCAUUAAAGCUCCUUUACUUGUUUUAAAGAAACUUCCAAAAUAAUAUUUAAAGAAAAAUUACUUCUAGAGAGAAUUAUAACAUGCUAAUUGAGAGAUCCCGAAACUAGAAACUAGAUGGUUAUAGUGAAGCGUGACCUUAACUGCUUAAUUAGGUGAAAAAAGCCAUCAAAUUUGACAAAAAGUCUGAUGAAAGGUCAUAGCUGUAUGCAUAAUCCGUAGAUGAGAUAAUCAUGAAACAAUACGUGGGGAAUCAACACAGCCUUAUCAUCGUCAAAAAAUUUUAGUGUUCUAGAAACACGAUCUGAUAUACAAAAUGUUUUAACAUCAAUUGAACGUUUUGGAAAUUUGUGGAUAGAAACCAAAUGGAAUAUGCUUGCUAGCUGCUAUAUACAUCUUGGAUUUUAGCUGAGGUGGCCAUUGGCCAAGGACUGCGAUCUAAUCACGAUGCUUUAAUUUCGCAGUACGAAAAAAAUUUCAGAUAAAAUUUAGAACAUGUUUAGGGAGUGCUUUCAAAUCACUGAAAGCGAUUUUAGAAAGAAAAAAAAUGUUUAUACAACUAAUUUUUAAUAAAAAUGCAAGUUAAUUCUCUAAAAGUAUUGAAAUUAGUGCUUCUUUGAUGAAUUACUUUAAGUGCUUUUGGAGCUCAAAAAUAUUUUCUCAAGUGGUUUCAGUUAUUUAAAAACACUUUCUAAACGAGUUAAUGACUCGUGUAUGGCAACAUUUAGCAAGUAAUAGCUCUCAUGAAUUGGAUUGUGGUGAUGUGAAAAUGGGUUUGGGUAAGUUUAGUUUAGAUCAGUCACCAGUGUAUAAAAUAUCCAUGAAAUUGUCGAUAUUUUCAUCAAAAUAUCCUUAAAAUUUAGGGUCCAUAAGGAAAAGAAGGGUAAAAUAUAAAUUUCAACCUAUAUUGGCGAGAUAUAAGAAAACAAUGAAUAUCGACAAUAUUUACCAAUUAACUACAAAAUGUUGCUAAAACCUAUUGCAGAUUUUGAACUUUAGAAUUUUUUUUUUAUAAAUUUUUUCUUUAAUUUCGACUAAAUCUGAAUGAGUUGAUACUUGAUAUGCUUAUCCCAUUGUAAAUUUCCAUCAAAGACUUUCCAACUAAAUCGAUAUUUUAAACAUUGGUUUAGACCCACAUGUUUAAUAUCCAGUGCAUGCAAAUAGAAUGUCAAAUCUUUCAGAAAAACUUCAGUAGGACUGCCACUUAAGGGCAACUAGCAUAUUAAAGAGACCAAUGCAAGGUUGGAUGAGACUAAAAUACAUAAGAGCAAUUCCACCGGGGACCAAAUGUCCCAGCCUCCAGUCCAAAAACCAAGCCAGGCCUCUGUCAAUCAAGUCCACCCCAACAAACUGACUGGUACCCAGCCCGAGUUGGGCAAGAGCCCAGCCCAAAAGAGACUGAGACAGAAGCCGGGGAAGAAGCCUGGCGCGUGCACUUCACGUAGCCGUUUGGCGAGUGCCCGACAAGCUUUCAGACGCCGGGGCCCGCGUGCAGGCGCUGUCAGUCCCCCCCCCGAGUUGCGACGUGGCUACCUCUCUGCCGUUGGAUUUCCAACGGCUAGUUUUCUAGACCGUUGGAUUUCCAACGGUAAAAAAAUUUUAAAUUUUACUUUUAAACUAGACCGUCGGAUCAAAGAUCAACGGUCCACGUUUUUUUCACAAAAAGUAAAUUAAAAAAAAAAAAAAAGGGCCCAACGGUCAGAAAUAUGACCGUUGGCCACGUGGCAACUCCCUAGCUCUUGGAUUUGAAUAUUUUUCAAAUCCAACGGUCCAGAUUAAUUAACUAUAUUAAAAUUCAUUAAAAAUUAUUAAAAAAUACAGAAAAAUUAUUAAAAAAUACAGAAAAUUUUAAAAAAAUUACAGAAAAUUUUGAAAAAUGUUAAUUUUUUUUCCUAUAAAUACCUAACCCUCAUCUUCUACCUUUACACCACAUUCCAAUAUUUUCUACACUUUCUAUACUAUCUACAUUUCAAAAUAUUUUCUACACUUUAAGAGAAAAAAAAUGUCUUCGUGGAAGCUCAUUGAAGAUGUUACGUUGUGUGAAUGUUGGGUUCACACUACUCAUGAUCCGAUUACGGGUAAUGAGAUGGAUAAGCGAGAGAUGUGGAGUAAAAUUACGAAAGCGUUUUGUGAUGUACAUGGAGAAAACGCCAGAACUAGUCAAGGUCUUCAAGGUCGUUGGAAAAAACUCAAUGCAUCAUUUACUUGUUGGAAAAACGCCAUCUCUCAUGCUUCCGGUAACCUCCGUAGUGGGACAAGUUUAGCGGAUCAGGUGACAAUAUUUUUUAUUUAUUUAUAUGCAUUCCACUCACAUUAAUAUUUUGAUUUAUUUAAUUUCGUAUGUAAUUUUUAUCUUAUUUCUUAUGUAAUUUUUAUUUAAUUUCUUAUGUAAUUUUUAUUUAAUUUCUUAUGUCAUUUUUAUGUAAUUUAUAUGCAUUCCACCCGUAUUAAUAUUUUGAAUUUAUUUAUUUGUGUUACACCCGCAUUUUUUAACACUAUGUUAUCCCACUUUUUUAUAGACACUACAAGCUCAAGCAUUCUACAAUUCAAAGAACGGGAACAAAUCAUUCAAUAGAUUGGAAUGUUGGCAAAUUGUCAAAGAUUGCCCUAAAUACAAAAUUGUGGCAACUGGUCCAGAAGUUGUCAUGCACGGUAUGGGUCUACAUAGUUCUCCAGAACCAGACAUGGCCGAACAAGAAGCCGACACAUUUCAAGACACGGAAGGGACGGCUGAACAAGUGCCCGAGACCCAACCGACUCGUCAGUCCCUAAGGCCUCUAGGUAAAAAGGCGUCAAAGAAAAAAGGUAGUUCUUCCAAAAAAUGACUACACUAAAUAUAUGGAGGAACUUGCUCGCCAAGGUGAACUAAACUUGGCACGAGAAAAGGCUAGAGAUGAGGAAAAAGUUGCUGCUAUGGCAGCAAUAUUAGCAGCUACUGAGGCCCGUGAUGCGGCGGCUGAAAGACAAAGAGAAGUAGUUAAUCGAGAGAACGAGCUGGUUAGAGAAGCACUUCAUCGAGAAAAUGAAUUGCUUCGAGAAGAAAGGAUGGCUCAAGCAUCGUGAUCGUGACACUAUGAGCAAGUCUCUAGUAGGACUGUCUCCGAAUUCUAAAUAUUUUUUAGACAUCGGAAAAAGAGAUGCCAUGCGUAGGAGGCGUGCAAGAGAUGCGGAAACAAGUCAAGGGGGUUCUAGCUACACAAAUCAUGGCAACCAAGAUCCUAGCACCACAUAUCCUAACUCGAGAGACUUUAUUUAAUUUCUUAUGUAUUUUUAUGUAUUUUCUUUCUUUUUUCUAGUAGAACUUUAUUUAAUUUCUUAUGUUUUUUCUUUUUUUUAGGUUUGAACUUUAUUUAUUUUCUUAUGCAAUUUUAAUGUAAUUAUUUAUUUAAUUUCUUUUGUACUUUAUUUAAAACACAUGAAAUAAGAUUACACAUAAACUCACCAAAUAAAUUUAAAAACAAAACACAUUACAUAGAAUUACAUAAACUCACCAAAUAAACUUAAAAACAAAACACACUACAUAGAAUUACAUAAACUCACCAAAUAAACUUAAAAACAAAACACACUACAUAGAAUUACUUAAACUUAAAAAAAAAUACAAUUUAUUCUUCAACCACAAGCCUCAUUCUAAUUAUCUUCGCCUCCAUGCAAUCCCCACUGGUGCUCAAUCAAGUCAUUCUGGCGGGUUACGUGCCAGUAUGGCUCUUGCACAUUAGUGUACCGCUGAACGAUCAAUUCAUUGUAACGUCCAUCACGUUCCAACGGCUCGUGUUGCACUGGAUCUUCGGUCCCAUCAUGAGCACAAUAAAUACGUGUUCUUGAGUUGUUCAUCGGAUCUGGCUCAUAUUCAUCGACGGCAUCAUAAUCAUACUCAUCUUCAACAAUCAUGUUAUGGAGAAUAAUACACGUCAUCAUGAUGGAUCGAAGAGCCUCGACAUCAAACAUUCUAGCUGCAGCCCUGACAAUCGCCCAACGAGCUUGCAGGAUACCAAAACAACGCUCGACAUCCUUCCUACACCCUUCUUGACAUUUUGCAAAGUGUUUUUCCUUUUCAGUCUGUGGAUGUGGCACUGUUUUGACAAAUGUUGACCACCUUGGGUAAAUGCCAUCUGCAAGGUAGUAUGAUCCCUCGUAUUGGGUACCAUUAACCCAAUAUGUGCAUCUCGGCGAGUUUCCUUGCAGCAGUUCGUCGAACACUGGGGAUUGGGCAAGGACAUUUAGGUCAUUUUGAGCUCCUGGAACACCAAAAAAAGCAUGCCAAAUCCAUGUAUCAAAUGAAGCCACCGCUUCCAAAAUGAUGCUUUUGGCUCCUUUUCUGUCGCCAUAUGCUCCUUGCCACGCACUUGGACAGUUUUUUCCAAGUCCAGUGCAUGCAGUCGAUGCUUCCAAUCAUGCCAGGGAAGCCUCGCAUCUCACCCUUCCUCAGAAGCCUUCGCAUGUCCCUUGACGUGGGUGUCCGGAGGUACUCUUUGGUGUAGAGGGCUUCAAUUGCAGAGCAAAACCGCAUCAGGGACUCCAGAACAGUUGUUUUUCCCAUCCUCGCGAUCUCAUCCACUUGAUCUGCAGAUGCUCCAUAUGCAAGCAUUCGCAAGGAUGCCGUAAUUUUUUGCUCGGGAAUAAGACCUAGAACAUGAAAAGCAUCCUCUUUUUGCACAAAGUAUGAAUCAUUGUUGCAAAUAUCACUCAUGAUUUUGUUGAACAAAUGUCGUUGCAUUCUAAAACGCCGUCUAAACAUGAUCAGGGAAUAUGCUAUUGGGAAUAAAAUAGUCUUCCAAUAGAUUUUUACCUCGUUUUUCCCUUUUUCUAUCGAGGUUUGCAACACGUCUUGGUUUGGCUAUCUGACCCACGGCUUCCAUGACACGGCGGGAAUGUGAGGCCUUCUGCCUUCUAUGGUGAUCAUCCUCAUCCUCCUCCAUGAAGAAAGCCUCAUCUCCACCUCCACCUUCCUCGAGAUUGGCCAAUUCUGCCUGUUGUGCCAACAACCUUUGUUGUUGCUCUUGCAACUGCUUAUACACCCUUCUUGAAGAAGACAUUGUAAUAAGAACUCAAGAUUUGAAAAUGAUGAACAAGGAUUCUGAGCUAAAAAGAAGGAUUGAGCUUGGUGUGAGGAUGGAUGUAGGGAUGUAGGGUUUAUAUGGACAAAAAAAGAAAGGAUGAGGUUCUGGACAAUGCCACGUGGCACUACGUGAUUGGUUGAAAAUCUUAUCGAAAUCUUGGCUAAAUUAUUGUAAACCGGAAGUGACACGUGGCGUGUCAGGAUUGGUCGAGAAUAUUAUCGAAAAUCUAUCCACAAAAUAGUACGUUCGGAUAAUGACACGUGGCAUGACGUGAUUGGUUGAAAAUCUUAUCGAAAUCUUGGCUAAAUUAUUGUACCAUGGAAGUGACACGUGGCGUGUCGGGAUUGGUUGAAAAUAAUAUCGGAAAUCUAUUCACAAAAUAGUACGUUCAGAUAAUGACACGUGGCGUGACGAGAUUGGUUAAAAAUCCUAUCCGAAAUUAAAACUAUUUUAUUUUUUUAUUCUUUAUUUUAAAUGGGUUAAAAAUCUUAUCCGAAAUAAACUUAAAAAAAAAACACACCAAAUAAAUGCGCUGGGUGCUAGCGCAUUUUUUUAGGGGUGGAGAUGCCUUGGCCUAUUACUGUUCACUCCAGUCUAUUACUGUUCAUUUGAGUGGAUAAAUGCGCUGGGUGCUGGCGCAAAGUCCACAGGGGUGGAAUUGCUCUAAAGUCUCGUGUUUUGAUGAGAUGUGGUCUACAAAUGAUAUAGCAUGUGCCCUACGAAAAAUGAGAUCGGAUUACCUAUUUGAAGCUUCUCUAGUAUGAAAAAUUCAAGAGGGAUGUGACGGGUCCGGAAAAUAAAAAAUCACACAUUUUUAUUAAUAAUUUUUUUGUUCGAAUUCGGAAAUGUAUAGAACUGAACAAAUGGAAUAGUAGCUCAGUGAUACCAACAAUUUCAUGUUGCAAAUCACAAAACAAAAAAAAAGGAACUGUUUUACACAAAAUUAAUGACAAUUAGAGUUGAACAACAGAAGCUUGCACUUUAAACGGUUUUUUUCUGCUGCUUUUGGUAUGUAUAUGCUUUUUCCAUGUCUCGAUGUAGUGCCAGUUCACAGGUCAUCAUCCUGGAACAAUGCUUUCGAAACAGAGCCGCACGGCUGGCUACUGUAUUCUCGGUAAUCUUCAUCGUCAUCCCAGCUGCGUUGCGAGCAUGAACGUUUGAUUCCUGUCAUUGGGGUUUCACAUACUCUGUCAUCACAUGAACCUCUAUGAUCCUUCCUUUUAAACAGCUUUCGAAGCGGAUUUAACUUUGGUUUCAAUGGUUUCAGCUGUUUUGGGGCCCAAACUCUCUGCAGAUCGGGCAUCCAUCUUGUGGAUGAAGCGAAUCUCCAAGCCCUCUCUCUCCUCUCUUGAGCUUCAAGUAACUUGCGAGCAUGGUCGUCGUUUUGUUUGAUCUCUUCAGCGCUCGGUCUUCCAAUAUCAGUUUUCAGCGGACGAAGAGACUCACCUUCUGCUGAUAAUGAGUCCCAGAUUCUAUAACUUUCAUCCACUUCGACACUCUUUGGUUUUUCUUUACAGGAUUGAUUGCUAUCCUCACUGUUGAGUAAACUAAUAGGGAGUUCUUCCUCAUCGGCAAACAGUAGCAAAUCCAUUUUUGUAUAGAUUUUGUGAACCACAUCUUCAAGUGUCUCACAGUACCUGAAAAUGUCCAAAUUCAAAGAUUAAUCUACCUGCUUAAUUCUCCAUCUCAAACAAAAAUUGAUCACCUGCAUUUGUACAUCAGGAAACUAAAUGCAGGAAUGAAUUAUUUAAGCUCCAUCAUUUCAAGGAUCAUACCGUAGGCUAAUAUGCUAUUGCAGAAGUUGUAUAAACAUAUUCCUCACUCGUUCAGAAAAACAUGCCUACGAUGUGCGGAUAACUGGCUUAUACCCUGUAAAUCUACACUAAUAAGGAAACACACUUAACUCAUCUAAGAUUAUAAAGAUAAUCACUUUCCUUUUUUAGCAUUAUUGCAAAGGUAAGUAGGAGAGCAUUGGAUGGGCAGUAAUAUCCCACAGGAAAGUGGAAACAGUGGCACCGGAAAUGUGUAUUUGAUGAGACAUGAACGGUAGACUGAAUGAGUGUCGAGAAAGCCAUAACGACUCGGUAAAACAUCCAUUAUAUAAAGUAAAGAAUAAUGCGAAAGGCAGGGGUUUUCAACUCUGGUACAGAUUUAUUACCUGCUUUUUAUGAUCCUUUCAACAUAAUCAUCUACACUCCAGUCACCAAAGAAGCCCUCCAGAUGACAUCGAAUUUUCUCCAAAAACGAGCAAAUCUGUUUUACAAACUUCUGUUUCAUAGAUUCUGCAAUACUUGCACCAACCUCUGAUUGUAGUAUCUCCAUACGGAAAAAUAUCUGCAAUUCAUAUCUAGUACUAGGUGAAGGAAAAGUGUAAAUGUAAUUGGAGACAAAUUUUCAUAUUGGUAGAGUUAUAACUGGAUUAAUGCAUAAUACAGAAGACAGUUCAGUUAUAAAUGAGAAAGGAUACUCUCGAACUAUUUUUCCAGAAGUCAGUCCUUCAGAUUCUGAAUCGGAUGCUUUAACAAACGGGCCGGAGCUUUUCUGCCUUGCAGUGAUAUCCUUGGGAUCUCUCAGUAGAAGUUUUAACACCUCAGCAGAAACCAAAUCAUCAGUAGCACCAGAUUUUACAAGGGAAGUUUGACUCUCUGAAAGGGCUUCUGUUUCCUGCUUUUUAUUUAACCAAUAUAUGGAUGAAUUCACAAGCCGAUAUGCCAAUGCCCCCAAGUCUACUGCUUCAUAUUCAAGCCCCUGUUGUAUCUUGUUGGAUAGACUACUGAAAAAAUCUUCCGACGUUUCUGAUCUAAAUUCCAAAGCAGCUUCAUCUUGUAUGCCAGAAGCCACAGUCAAAGAAUUUUCUCCAAUGGAAGGAGAUGAAGAAAUUGGCUGUUCACUUUCAUGGUGCAAGUUAUCCAACCUAUUGUCCAUCCCUUUUCUAUUGAGCUGGUCUGCCUGGGAUUCUUUCUCCACUAUUAGACCACGAUCGCUAGACUUCUUAAUUUGUUUCAUCCAGCAUUUCAGAAAUCGUAUCUUUUUUGAGUUAUAACAUUCCCUGGCAAAGUAAACCUCUUCCAAACCUAUCUCUGAGUGUUCAAAUGCUGCCUUGUAGAAGGCACUCCAUGUGAGAUCUUGUAGCAACUGUGAAUUUCUUUUGUUAUUUCUCUUCCUUCCCUCCUUGCCUGCAGAAUGCUUAUUGGAUGGCCCAGUUUGGUCCAAAUCAGCAUUCGGUUCGCAAAUCCCAUUCUUCAUAUUUCGACUUGAUUGGUCUGCUUUUGCUCCACCAAUAUCAUGCACUUUUGUCUGAGGGUGAAAUCCUUCAUCCACAAUAAACAGCCGAGCCGAAGAAACUGUGAAAGGUUUGAGAAUUCCGGUAGACGAUACACCACUGUCACUUGAAAGAGACACUAAUGCUCCAUGACCAUUCCUAUAUAAGAAACUCAAGAGAAUCUGCCAAAUGGGUGCUGACUUUCUCUUUGCAUUCUCACCCAAGUCCACUGCUACCACUUCUAGAACCUUAUCUGCAUAAUAAUUGCCAGAACUUUCUUUUCCAUCUUCACCAGGUUUUCCCAAAACAUCACAGACAAGGACUGGAUCAGAUAAGUGCCCCUUGAAUUUCAGAAACUCAUUGUACUUUUGCAAAGCCUUAACCUGGAACUUUGUCACGCCUUUGACAAAAUACCCCCAGAACAAUUCCUUCAGUUUACCACCCUUUGUUUGUGAAUUCAUGAUUUCUAGGGAAAAGAAAGCAUCAUCAGCUGCAUUUCUAGGCAACUUCUUCAAAUCAACCAAUUGAAGAUCACAAACCUUGCAUUCCAAAGGCUUCCCACUUACAUCUAAGAUCUCGAGACUCAACUGCGCAUUGACUUUCUUAUGACUAUCAUCACAACCGAAAAACUUGGAUGAAAUCCCUAUCUCGGGAUAAAUCAAACCAAAGGAAACAAGAGCAGAGCCAAGAAUAAUCCAACCAGUCGAGCAAAAUCCCCAUCCCAAACUCCUAACCCCACUCUCGAAAAACCCAAAUCUCGUCUUAUCCUCAUCGUUCCCAACCUUACCCUCACCACAUUCUAAUUCAUACCUGACAUCAACCCAGCUACACUGAAUAUCUCUACUCACAAAUGCUUCAUUCACAUUCUCAAAGAAACCCCUAAAUCUCUCGGAAAACGCUUUCACAUUUUCCAAAGACUCGUCACCCACACCCACUGUUAGGUCACAACUUCUAAAUUCCCUUUCUCGACCUGCUAGUAGCUGAUAGUAAUGGCGGUGAGUGAGUGGGAAGGAAGAUAGAGAGAGAUAGAAAGUUUCUUGUAAUAUUGUUUUUCUAAUUCAAUCCUGCAGAACAAUGCCACAAUUUGGUUCUUAUACAACCAUCCUUCUCACAAUGCCAGCUGGCUACUAACAAUAACGACAUGUAGCUAAAUAGUUUUCCACUAUUAUUCUAACCACUAUUAUAAUCAUAACACUACCCCUCCCUUACAAAAUAAACCUUGUCCUCAAGGUUAGAAUUAAAGACUGAAAUCAGGAAAUCUGGCAGCAAACUCGUCAUAAUCCUCCCAUGUAGUUUCGUCCUCUUUGUUGUUCUUCCACUGGAUUAACAACUGAACUCCAGCAGCUUGGCCCUUCUUGUAGACCCUCAUUUGUAGCACCUUGAGUGGUUCGAGUGGUAGCAACCCAUCAUCAGUGACAGUAGGCAAGAAUGGAGUUAUGUGACCUUGUCUCCCAAGUGCUUCUUCAAGCAACUAACAUGAAAGACUGGAUGAAUUUUUGAAUUCUCAGGCAGUUUCAAUCGGUAGGCAACCUUCCCAAUAUUUUCCAAAACCUCAUAAGGACCAUAGUACCGGGGAUGAAGCUUAUGGUAAGCAUGAGAUGACAAAGAUUGCAAUUGAUAGGGAAUUAAUUUCAAAUACACCAAAUCUCCUUCCUCGAAAACCCUCUCACUCCGAUGCUUAUCUGCUUGUGUUUUCAUCCGGUUCUGAGCUACUAGUAAAUUGGUCCUGAGCAUUGCUAAUAUUUUGUCCCUAGUUAGCAGCCCUUGCUCCACUAUAUCCAACUUAGCAGUGCCAAGCUCAUAAGACGCGAUGUGUGGUGGUGGAUAACCAUAGACCACUUCGAAGGGGGUGAACUUUGAGGAAGUGUGGUAGGAAGUGUUAUAGCUCCAUUCUGCCCAUGGAAGCCAGUGGAGCCACUUCUUAGGUUGACAGCUAGUGAAGCAUCGCAAGUAAGUUUCAAGGCACCGAUUCACCACCUCUGUCUGGCCAUCACUCUGUGGAUGGUAACCCGAGCUCAUACACAACUUGGAGCCUUGCAACUUAAAAAAAUUCUUUCCAAAAAACACUCAUGAAAAUGGUGUCCCUGUCACUCACAAUGGUAGAGGGCAUCCCAUGGAGUUUAAACACAUUAUCAACAUAUUCCUGAGCUACCAUGCUUGCCGUAUACGGAUGUGCUAAGGGGAUGAAAUGAGCAUACUUGGACAGCCUGUCUACGAUUACCAGGAUCACUGAUUUGCCUUUGCACAGAGGUAAACCAGUGAUGAAAUCCAUGCUUAUAUCCUUCCAUACAUGUGUAGGGAUCGGCAGAGGUUGAAGUAAUCCGGGAGGGGAAAUGGUUUCAUACUUAUUUUGCUGGCAUUCCCGACAUUCAGCCACCCAUGACCUGAGAUCUUUCUUCAUUCCUACCCAAUAGAAGCCCCUCUUCAAUAUCUGAUAAGUCUUUAGAACCCCUUUCAUGGCCUGCACUUGGAGAAGAGUGAUGUUCCUCAAAGACCUUCCUUUUCCAACUUGAAUCUGGGCUAAGCACGAUCCGUCCUUUGUAUUUGAGGAAACCGUUGUCUAAAUGGUACUUGGACAGAUUGGGGUCAAUUGCAGCAGCUUAAGAAUAUGCUAACACCUUCUGCACCUUGCUUUGAAUCCAACUAUCUUGUUCUAACCCUCUCCGAAGUUCAUCUAGCCACCCGAAGUAGGGGUAUGUGAUAGCUUUGCACUCCAAUAAGUCACUGAGAGGUUUCUCUUGUAAUUGAGACGAACCAACUACUCGAGAUAAGGCAUCAGCCAUUAUGUUGUCAUUGCCUUGCCUAUAUUGUAUCUCAUAAUCAAAUCCCAACAACUUGGCCACCCAUUUCUGUUGGAACGGGGUAGUAGUUCUUUGACUCAGAAAGUAUUUCAAGCUGCUAUGAUCUGUCUUUAUGAUGAAAUGGCGCCCUUGAAGGUAGUUUUGCCAUUUUUUGAUAGCACUAACAAUGGCAAUCAACUCUCUUUCGUAUGUAGACAAUGCUUAAUUCCGUGGUCCCAAUGCUUGACUUGUGAAAGCUAUAGGUCUGCCAUUCUGUUGCAACACAGCCCCUAUUCCAUUGCCAGAUGCAUCACAUUCCAAAGUGAAGGGAAUAGCAAAAUUGGGUAAGGCUAAUAGCUGCGGAGAAGUCAUUGUUCUUUUUAAUGCUUGGAAAGCUGCCGUGGCUUCAGGGGACCAAUUGAAACCAUCAUUUUUUGUUAGUUGAUACAAGGGUUGACACACCUUGCCAUAACCGGGGAUGAAUUUUCUAUAAUACCCUGAGAGCCCGAGAAAUCCCCUCAACUCUUUGACAUUUUUCGGUAUCGGCCAAUCUAUAAUUGCUUGAAUUUUAGUAGGAUCUGCAGCCACCCCAUCACGAGAGACGAUGUGCCCCAAGUAUUCCACCUGUGAUUGGCCAAAAGAGCAUUUCGAUUUCUUCACUGCUAAUUGGUGUUUCUGUAAUAACUCCAAAGUUUGGUGCAAGUGUGAAAGAUGGUCCUCCCAGGUCUUGCUGUACACCAAAAUGUCGUCAAAGAACACCAAGAUGAAUUUCCGGAGGUAAGGCUUAAAAAUGUCAUUCAUAAGGGCUUGGAAAGUGGCAGGAGCAUUUGUAAGACCAAAGGGCAUGACUAAGAAUUCAUAAUGCCCUUGGUGAGUUCGGAAGGCAGUCUUUUCCACAUCGGAGGGACAUACGGAUCUGAUGAUAUCCAGACCUAAGAUCAAGCUUAGAAAAAUACUGAGCGCCAUGCAAUUCAUCUAACAAAUCAUCCACUAAUGGAAUAGGAUAUUUAUCCUUAAUGGUAAUGCUGUUCAAUUCACGAUAGUCCAUGCAAAGCCUCCAAGUGCCCUCCUUCUUCUUGACCAAGAGAACUGGAAAUGAAAAGGGACUAUGACUUGGCUGGAUGAAUCCAGCAUCUAAAAGUUCUUGCACAGCUCGUUCAAUCUCAGUUUUUUGCAUAGGACCAUAAUGGUAUGGUCUAAUACUCGGAGGCUUGGAACCAGGAAGCAAUGGAAUCUGGUGAUCAUGAGCCCGUGGAGGUGGUAAGGUAGUAGGAGGCUUAAAAACCGUUUCAAAUUGCCUGAGCAUACCCUGCAGCUCAAUGAGUUGCUGGGGAUUCAAGUUGGAUGCCUCCAACGGAUUAGUUUCCAUUGAAUACAAUAAGACGCCCCAAUUAGAGUAUUUAAACUCUUUUUCAAGCUGUUGACAAACAGUAUCCUGUACCAAGUACGCUGGAGCAGUGGAAUGAACAAGUUUAUAGUGGUCUUUUCCCACAGAAAAUUCCAUGGUUAAGUUGUGAAAAUCCCACAAAACUGGACUCACAGAUGAGAGCCAUUUCACACCCAAUACAACAUCGCAACCCCCUAGAGGAAGUGCGUAGAGGUUAGUGUGGCAGCGAUAUGCACCCAAUUCCAAGGGAAUUUGUUGGCAACAGCCUUGACUUCGGACUUUACCCCCAUCGGCAAUCAUGACAUCGAAGGGUUUGGUGGUGUGACAAGGCCACCCGAGCUGCUUAAGCAACCUAGAAUCCACAAAAUUGUGGGUGCUACCAGAGUCAAGUAGUAUGGUAACAGGUAGAGUGUGAAGCACACCAGCCACUUUCAUGGUUUGUACCGUGGAGGGCUCAGUAGUGCCAUAGAACGCACAAGCACUCAACUCCAUGCUUGAUAGGGAAAGAUCAAUAGGCUCCAGUAAUUCACACUCUGUAGGUUCCAGCAAUUCACACUCGGUAGGCUCCAACUCAUUACAAACAUCAAGCAUAAGGAGCUGUUUAUUAUGGACACAUUUGUGCCCUCGAACCCACUUUUCAUUACAGAACCAACACUCGCCCUUGUCCUUCUUCCGUUGAACUUCCUCGGGGGUAAGUUUCUUAUAAGGGAGGGUUUGAGGAUGAGGCCUGGUAAGGGAAGGUAGAGGUAAGGCGAGAGGAGGUUUGAGUGGGGGAUGAGGUUUUGGGGGAGAUGGUUUCAAGUCCGUGAGUUUAGCAUUUAAUUGGGCAGCAAAGGAAAUGGCCUCAUGAACUGAGGAAGGGCGAAGCAAUUUAACAUCGUAACGCAAUUCCUUCUUGAGACCCCCCAGAAAGCAACUCUUUAAGAGAAUAGGACCAACAUCAUAGGUUCGAGUGGCAAGGCGCCGAAAUUCCACAAUAUAAUCACGAAGAGGGCCGGUUUGGCGGAGUUUGAAUAGCGACUCAGUGCAGUCCUCAAACUCCGGUGGACCAAAUUCCUGGCACAAAGCAGUCGUGAAUUCACCCCAGGUGGGAGUGGAAUGUACACAAUCGCGCCAACGAAACCAGUACAGCGGCUCAUUCUUGAAGUGGAAGGAGGCGGUCAAAACCUUCUGAUUCUCCGGAGUGUGAUAAUAAGCAAAAUAUUGUUCGGCCUUAUAGAUCCACGCUGAGGGAUCAUCACCGUCGGAGAAACGGGGAAAAUCCAGACGAUGUGACCGCUGCGGGCGAGGAGUAAAACCGCCGCCUUCAAAAGAAUCACGGCGCUGAAACCGUGGAGUGUCGAGACAACGAAAAUCGCCAUCAUCGGUCACAAUGGGAGGAGGAAUAUGUGGAUCUGGCACUAGAGGUGGUGGUGCAGUCGAAGAGCCAGCACCGCCUUGAGGACCAGGGUCGCGAUGGAGAUGCUCCAGGAGAAGGGCGAAUUUGGUUUCGAGAGCGGUGAAGCGGGUGUCGGAAUUGGCGUUGGAAGUCUGGAUCAGCUGAGGAAUGGCUCCCAUGGCUUCCAGAGUAGCUUCCACGGCGGAGAGGCGCGAUUCAACAGUGGACAUUCGAGAAUUUGUGGUGUGGCGGGGCAUACAAGAGGGAGACUCAGGAUCGAGAGGCUGAUACCAAUUGUUAGGUCAAAACUUCUAAAUUCCCUUUCUCGACCUGCUAGUAGCUGAUAGUAAUGGCGGUGAGUGAGUGGGAAGGAAAAUAGAGAGAGAUAGAAAGUUUCUUGUAAUAUUGUUUUUCUAAUUCAAUCCUGCAGAACAAUGCCACAAUUUGGUUCUUAUACAACCAUCCUUCUCACAAUGCCAGCUGGCUACUAACAAUAACGACAUGUAGCUAAAUAGUUUUCCACUAUUAUUCUAACCACUAUUAUAAUCAUAACACCCACAUUCGGGAAUUCUGUCAAACAGUUUGCAGACACACAGACGGGCGAAAACAGAACUACCAAAUUAGACCUCACAGCAACCGAAUCACUAUUCGAGAACAUACCCAUCAUUGGAUCGCAGAUCACGGGGUCCCAGGCGUAGUCGUGCACGAGCUGGCGCAAGGAGACGGCGAAAUGCGGGGAGGGAAUUGAGGGUGUGGAAGAGGGAAUUGAAAGUGGGGCCGGGGAGGUGGAAAGAGAGGGAGAGAGAAGUGGGGAGCUUGGAGGAGGAGAGCAGCGGAGAGAGGGAGGAGAAGAAGGGUCUGAAGGCGAAGAGAGAGGCGGAGAGAAGAAGGAAGGAGAGGAUGGUUUUGACGGCGGCGAGGAGGGCGGUGAGAAAUGGAGCUGGGUUUUGGAGGUGGAGGAAUGGGUUGAGGUCUAGGAGGAGGACGAUGCGCACAGUGCCUGCCUAUCAUGUAAAACCAUUGACAAUGAUACAAGACAGUUUAUUUGGACCUAUAAAACUAUAUUUAUGUAAAACUAUAUUUUAUUCAAUUUCAAAAAUUAGUACAUGCAAUGACAUGUUUGAUCGUAAAAAAAAAAAAAAUGAGAAAUUUUCAGUGUAUCAGAAAUACGAAUCGGUAAAAAAUCUCUCCAAAAAUACAUAUGCAUGUUUUAUUCAAAAGGAAAGGAAUGAGGCGCCAUCAUCCCUAACACACUUUAUUACAAGUAGUAUCAUCCAUUGAGGCAGAGAAGUUAAUUAGAUGCUGUCCUUAAUGGAUGCACUAUAACCGUUGUCAUAGAACCUGUUCCAAAGCAUAACUCCUCCGUACUUGGCCGAAUUCUUAAUUGUUGGAAGGACUUGUGACUUGAGAGCAUCAGCAGGAAUAAAUCCGCUGCGCGCGGCAUCAGUAGACGCCGGUAUCCCCAAGAACACCUGGGUGGCCGAAACCGAGGCCCAUCGGUUCCAACUGCUCAAAAGAGCGUCGGCAUUACCGUCUGCAUACUGGCAUUGGGCUAGGGGGUUGUUGUAGAACUGAACCCAAACGUAGUCAAAUAAACCGGUUGGAUAGCGCCGUCUAGGUGAGUAUCCGGGAACGGGCAUUGUGGAGCUGCGGCUAAAUAGACCGUUUUUCCCUGUCCGUUGUGUCCUUUGAGUGACCUGGCGAGCUCGUCGUAGAACUGCGUACCACCCAACUCAAUGUCGAAAUCGACGCCGUCCAAAACCGCGUCCCCAAGCGGGCGCGAAUCUGACUGACCACCUAGGAAGUUGUUCCAGAUGUAAUCAGCAACUUGCCUUGCCUCAUCAGCUGAAGUGAGAGAGUAAGUUUCGGUGGCCCCUCCAAUCGAGAGGAGGACUUUUAUGUUUUUUGAUUGGCAGGUUCUGAUGUCGGCACUCUGCCCCGUGCAAGUACCACUAGCGGGGUUGCAGUGGCCGGCGAGGUUUAGGACAGGGGCUUGGUUGUUUCCAAAAGUUGAGAGGAAAGCUAUGUUAACAAACUGGUAGUUGCCCGAGUUGCAAGCUUCUGCUAGGGUUCCUUCGUUGCCGUUUUGGCCCCAAUACGUCGCGAUUCCGGCGGCUUGGGAGGACUUGCAUGAAGAAAUGAGGAUCAAGAGGGACAGAGUUAGGGCUAGGGUUUGUGUUUUGGAUGCCAUUUUUGUAUGU